UACCCGGAAGUGAGAAAGAGAAGGAAGUAAAAGCUUGGAAGUGUGGUCACCAAGGAAACGGCAGGAGGGGUGGGAAUAAGGCUAGUGUGAGUCACGUGGUGAGGUUAAACCUGAGAGCACAGGAAGACUGGAGAGACAGGGAAUAAAUCUAUGAUUUCAUAAGCAAACGGAAGUCUAAGGAUCUUUGUCUCCCUGCAGGAGAAUGCAUAUCAAAGGCAUUUGGUUGAACCGUGAUUCAUGGUGAAAGUAACUCAGCGCUGAUUAUUGGCCCUAGGGGAUCAGGAAAGAGCUUGGACGUUAUGGAACUUCUAGAGAAAAGAGUGAAAUCUCGGGUUUUCCCACCGACAGAUUCAUCUGCUCAAUUCCUUCAGUUUCUCCCAGUACCUGCAAAUAUUUCAAGAGAAACUUUCUGUUCCCAGACACUCGGUUUGCUGAGAAAUGGAACAAAAGAAUUAAGCUCCUGGCUGUCUGCCGUGUCAAUGAGUCUCACCCUCAUAUAACUGCGGCAGAAUUCUUGGAAGUCCACCAGGACUCAAAGGCAAAUAUAUUCUGGUACAACUUUUAGAGUAUUGUUUGCUUCCUGGGCCAAUGAUGGAAUCGUGUGGGGGGCUCCACAAGACCCUCUGGAUGAGGACUGUGAUUUAGGCCUGAUGUGAUCCUUUGCCCGACAGAGAUUCUCAAGGCUUCCCAACUGGUAUCUGACUGAUCAGUUAUUGGUCAGGUCUGUCUUUUCUAGCUCUGCCUAAUCAUUGCCAUGAAGCACUUACACGACAUUUAUGAUGGGGAACCUUUUCAUUUCCAGAUGGUGCACAAUGAAUUCCAAAGUUUAUUCAGAGGAAAGUUCACUCUAUCAUUUUGAAUAGCAUGUAGUAAUAAAGGCGUUUGAGCACUUGCACCAGUUACAGCUGAUAAAGCCCAUGGAAAAGCUGAAAGAGAACCGACGCGUGAAGCUUCUACUAGAUAACACUCAAAUUGCAGAAGCACUUCACAAGUACCCCAACUGCCCUACACAUGUGAAACAGUGUCCUCAUUCAGCUGAGGGGAAGGAUCACGGGCAAUUUUGUAUUGAAAUAUCAAUGCACAUCUAAUUUUGUACUUUAUAAUAAACUAUUCCUAAUUAAA